rnacentral:rRNA from 1 species
UACGUAGGGUGCGAGCGUUGUCCGGAAUUACUGGGCGUAAAGAGCUCGUAGGUGGUUUGUCGCGUUGUCCGUGAAAACUCACAGCUUAACUGUGGGCGUGCGGGCGAUACGGGCAGACGUGGAGUACUGCAGGGGAGACUGGAAUUCCUGGUGGUAGCGGUGGAAUGCGCAGAUAUCAGGAGGAACACCGGUGGCGAAGGCGGGUCUCUGGGCAGUAACUGACGCUGAGGAGCGAAAGCGUGGGGAGCGAACAGG